CAGCAGCCGCGGGAAUACAGAGGGUGCGAGCGUUAAUCGGAUUUACUGGGCGUAAAGCGUGCGUAGGCGGCUUCUUAAGUCGGAUGUGAAAUCCCUGAGCUUAACUUGGGAAUUGCAUUCGAUACUGGUUAGCUAGAGUGUGGGAGAGGAUGGUAGAAUUCCAGGUGUAGCGGUGAAAUGCGUAGAGAUCUGGAGGAAUACCGAUGGCGAAGGCAGCCAUCUGGCCUAACACUGACGCUGAGGUACGAAAGCAUGGGGAGCAAACAGGAUUAGAUACCCGUGUAGUCCCUGUCUCUUAUAC
rnacentral:rRNA from 1 species